rnacentral:RNase_P_RNA from 1 species
GGCAUGGGUGAAAUGGUGGUGUAAAAGACCACCAGCGUCCGCAGUAAUGCGGCGGCUGGGCAACCCCCGUCGGGAGCAAGGCCAAGCAGGGAUGAGGAACUGCCCGUUCCGUUUGAAUCCCGGGUAGGCUGCACGAGCUGCCUGGUAACAGUCAGCCUAGAGAGAUGACCGUCCUUCGCGAGACCGUCCGUUCGCGGAUACCCUUGCGAGGACAAAAUGCGGCUUAUAGACCGGCCUGAGCA